GAUCCUGGCUCAGGACGAACGCUGGCGGCGUGCUUAACACAUGCAAGUCGAACGGUAAGGCCUUCGGGUACACGAGUGGCGAACGGGUGAGUAACACGUGGGUGAUCUGCCCCCUACUCUGGGAUAAGCCUGGGAAACUGGGUCUAAUACCGGAUAUGACCUCCUGCUUCAUGGUGGGUGGUGGAAAGUUUUUUCGGUAGGGGAUGAGCCCGCGGCCUAUCAGCUUGUUGGUGGGGUAAUGGCCUACCAAGGCGACGACGGGUAGCCGGCCUGAGAGGGCGACCGGCCACACUGGGACUGAGACACGGCCCAGACUCC
rnacentral:rRNA from 1 species